UAGGGAAUCUUCGGCAAUGGACGAAAGUCUGACCGAGCAACGCCGCGUGAGUGAAGAAGGUUUUCGGAUCGUAAAACUCUGUUGUUAGAGAAGAACAAGGACGUUAGUAACUGAACGUCCCCUGACGGUAUCUAACCAGAAAGCCACGGCUAACUACGUGCCAGCAGCCGCGGUAAUACGUAGGUGGCAAGCGUUGUCCGGAUUUAUUGGGCGUAAAGCGAGCGCAGGCGGUUUCUUAAGUCUGAUGUGAAAGCCUCCGGCUCAACCGGGGAGGGUCAUUGGAAACUGGGAGACUUGAGUGCAGAAGAGGAGAGUGGAAUUCCAUGUGUAGCGGUGAAAUGCGUAGAUAUAUGGAGGAACACCAGUGGCGAAGGCGGCUCUCUGGUCUGUAACUGACGCUGAGGCUCGAAAGCGUGGGGAGCAAACAGG
rnacentral:rRNA from 2 species